rnacentral:lncRNA from 1 species
CGAAGUUUAUCCUUAGAAGGACCAUGCUGACAGGGAAGAUAUCUUGGCUCAAGUAGUCAAUUUACUAUCUCAACCUCAAUUUUAUAUUGAUUUGUAUUGUGCCUUGAACAGGUUCUUUUAUGAUUUGUUUGUGUUUUGUGCUUCUUACCUUCCCGAUUAGAUCAUACUUGGCACUAAAUUAUUAAUCAUGUUAGAGCUUAUUGUUUUAUUUAGUAAACAUUAGGUAAUUUUUUCUGUUAAAAAUCAAGAACAAGUUGGUUAAGAAAGAAGAAUUGAAUUAUUUUUUUUCCUCGAGUUCAUCAAUAAAUUUUGUACAAAAGAAUUUUUAUACAUUACAGUUUCAUUUUUUGUGUAGUACAUGAACUAAAUUCUUUACCUCAUCAAUGGUGAAUUGGUACGAAAUUCUUCAAGAGAUUUAUGUAACUUACACUAAAAUGUGGUUAAUCCCUGAUUUUAUGACUUAUGGGAUGAUGAUUGCGUGGGAACCUGAUCCUUUAUCUUUGACUUUUGGUUCCUUCACCUUCUUAACCAUGUUUUCCAGUUUAUUUCUUCAGUUUAUUAAGAAUAUAUAUAUAUAUAUACAUAUAUAUAUAUAUACAUAUAUACAUAUAUAUACAUAUAUACAUAUAUAUAUAUACAUAUAUAUAUAUAUAUACAUAUAUACAUAUAUAUAUAUACAUAUAUAUAUAUAUAUACAUAUAUACAUAUAUAUAUAUACAUAUAUAUAUAUAUAUACAUAUAUACAUAUAUAUAUAUACAUAUAUAUAUAUAUAUACAUAUUUUUGGAGGACAAUGAUUUACAAUUUCCAGUAUAUUUUCUACUUUUGAUUUGCACUUAUAAUUUUAUCAUAUUUUAUAUAUGUAUCCUUGAAUGUAUCGUAUCCUAUAUUUUAGAAAAAAUGUGUGUCGAUGUAUCGGAUACGUAUUGUAUCCGACAUAUGUAUCUGUACUCAUGCUUUAUAGCUUGCAGCCAUUUUACUUGCAUGUGGGCUUAUUUUUAGUUUCCUGAUGUAUGUGAGUACACUGGUAGUCAUGUAUUUAUUUUGUUUUUGGUUUUCAGUGAAAUGAAAGCCCGCCAUGUAUAUAUGGUUCUUAUUUAGCCGGUAAUUUUGUUUUCUCUUAGUAACCUUUUGUUUGUGCCUUGCUACUUGCAUCCACAUGUUAAUCUGUAGGAAGAGAUGUUUUUUUUAUCAUGGGGUGAGGGGAUAUGCCUUGAAAGUAUUGUACCAUCAAUCCUAACAUCCAAAAAUGAUGUAACAGAGUAUCAAUAGCCACUAAAGAUGUAUCAAACUUAUUGUGGGGAUAACCUGUCAUGUAUACUACAUUUAUCCUAUUUUUGAUCUCAUAUAAACCUGUGUCCUCCUGAUUUUUAAUUAGCUUCUCAAUUUCAUAGUGACUGUAGAUGCUGGUAAUAUUUGCUUUUGUUGGUAACAUUUUUGAUACUGCUUCAUGCUUUUAGCUCGAUUGUCUUUUUAAGAAAAAUAAUGUUUGCAAACCUGCAGGGUGAAUGAUCCAGUGGCAUUAAAGCUACUUGGCAAGGCAGGAGAGAUGCCCUCUCUGGAGGCUCCUGAAGAUGAGAGCAUUAAAACUCUUUAUGUUGGUGGACUUGAUGCAAGGGUCACUGAGCAGGAUUUGCGGGAUAACUUCUAUGCCCAUGGUGAAAUUGAAUCCAUCAAAAUGGUUCUUCAACGGGCUUGUGCUUUUGUGACCUAUACAACCAGAGAAGCCGCCGAAAAGGCAGCAGAAGAACUCUCAAACAAACUGGUUAUUAAGGGCCUAAGGCUAAAGCUGAUGUGGGGUAGGCCUCAGUCGGCGAAACCUGAGUCGGAUGACUCCAACCAAGCAAGGCAGCAGGCUUCUGUGGCUCAUAGCGGGUUGUUGCCUAGAGCGAUUAUAUCACAGCAGCAAAGCCAGGACCAGAACCAAGGAAUGGUUUACUAUAGCAAUCCACCUCCUCAACCGCAAAGAAGCUAUUACCCAUCAAUGGAUCCUCAAAGAAUGGGUGCUCUUAUUCCUUCUCAAGAGGGUCCUCCUGGGGGACCUUCCGGGUCUGGGGAGAACAAACCCAUUAUGGAGAAGCAGCAAAUGCAACAUUAUGCCCAUCCAAUGAGGCCUCCACCACCAGGCCAAUAUCAACAUCAGUAUUAUCCUCCAUAUGGCUAUAUGCCCCCAGUUCCCCAUUAUCAACAACAGUACCCACCACCACCAUAUAAUGCUCCGAUGCCUCCAUCCCACCCACCAGCUGUAAAUCAUCCUUAUCAGCAUUCCAUGCAGCCAGGGUCUUCACAGGCAGGGUCUGCUCAGGGUGGCUCUGCACCUGCCGAAGCCGGAACAUCGUCAUCAGGGUCACAGCAGCAGUGAAAUUUUCCAUAAACUAAUGUUAGUAGCCAUGUUUAACUUUUGUGCGAAGUUUAUCCUUAGAAGGACCAUGCUGACAGGGAAGAUAUCUUGGCUCAAGUAGUCAAUUUACUAUCUCAACCUCAAUUUUAUAUUGAUUUGUAUUGUGCCUUGAACAGGUUCUUUUAUGAUUUGUUUGUGUUUUGUGCUUCUUACCUUCCCGAUUAGAUCAUACUUGGCACUAAAUUAUUAAUCAUGUUAGAGCUUAUUGUUUUAUUUAGUAAACAUUAG